UGAGUGACGGUAAUGGGUAAAGAAGCACCGGGCUAACUACGUGCCAGCAGCCGCGGUGAUACGUAGGGUGCGAGCGUUGUCCGGAUUUAUUGGGCGUAAAGGGCUCGUAGGUGGUUGAUCGCGUCGGAAGUGUAAUCUUGGGGCUUAACCCUGAGCGUGCUUUCGAUACGGGUUGACUUGAGGAAGGUAGGGGAGAAUGGAAUUCCUGGUGGAGCGGUGGAAUGCGCAGAUAUCAGGAGGAACACCAGUGGCGAAGGCGGUUCUCUGGGCCUUUCCUGACGCUGAGGAGCGAAAGCGUGGGGAGCGAACAGGCUUAGAUACCCUGGUAGUCCACGCUGUAAACGGUGGGUACUAGGUGUGGGGUCCAUUCCACGGGUUCCGUGCCGUAGCUAACGCUUUAAGUACCCCGCCUGGGGAGUACGGCCGCAAGGCUAAAACUCAAAGGAAUUGACGGGGCCCCGCACAAGCGGCGGAGCAUGCGGAUUAAUUCGAUGCAACGCGUAGAACCUUACCUGGGUUUGACAUGGAUCGGGAGUGCUCAGAGAUGGGUGUGCCUCUUUUGGGGUCGGUUCACAGGUGGUGCAUGGCUGUCGUCAGCUCGUGUCGUGAGAUGUUGGGUUAAGUCCCGCAACGAGCGCAACCCUUGUUCACUGUUGCCAGCACGUUAUGGUGGGGACUCAGUGGAGACCGCCGGGGUCAACUCGGAGGAAGGUGGGGAUGACGUCAAGUCAUCAUGCCCCUUAUGUCCAGGGCUUCACGCAUGCUACAAUGGCUGGUACAGAGAGUGGCGAGCCUGUGAGGGUGAGCGAAUCUCGGAAAGCCGGUCUCAGUUCGGAUUGGGGUCUGCAACUCGACCUCAUGAAGUCGGAGUCGCUAGUAAUCGCAGAUCAGCAACGCUGCGGUGAAUACGUUCCCGGGGCUUGUACACACCGCCCG
rnacentral:rRNA from 1 species